GUCUGGAAUGUGUUUAGCCUUGAGAGCUUGCAAGAAGCCUUUAUAGUUCAUGAUGAAGAAUGGGAAAAGCAGUAUUAUAAUGUUAGGCAAGACUGGUUCAGAUCAGAGAGAAAUGGAGGAAGAAAUCAUUAAAAUGAAGGGUAGGAUUGUCUCUUCGCAACCAUUAAAGGCAGUUUCAGAAUUUCCUUCUGGAUUCCGUGCAUCACACAGACUAUCUACUAUCAUCCCUGGUUAAUGAGAGGGGCUUCACAAAGACUCUCCCACAUUGAUUUUGUCCUUUGCCGAACAUCAAGCGCAUUUUCAACCAGUACCAUCAGGAUAGCAUUUGAAUACUCUCUAUGACUGCAUUCCCUCAACUGCAUCAUAAGUUCCUUGAAGUGACAAAAGUGGUUUAACAGCUCUGUCUAUCUAAAGAUGUCUACUCAGAUACUGGGCACAAAAUUGAUUGAUAGCAAUUGAUUGACAGAGAGGUUUCUUUAGGAAGAGCUUUUACUCUGAAUAAAAUAUUCCUGUGAGGAAGAUGCCGACCGGCCAUCUAGGUCUGCAGAAGAUGAGACCAGAGGAAAUGGAUUUUGAACAUGCCCCGAGAGACCUGUAAAAAAUUAACUGCAAGGGAGUUUAAACACAGGAAGAACAGAACAGAGAAGGCUGAGGGCUCUCUCCUGAAAUGAAUGUUUUAAAAAAAAGACAGCCUAUUUUUAGAUAAAAUAAGUUGACACAGGCCAUUGGUUCUUAACCUACAGUCUGUAAACCCCAAAUGUUGCUGCUUUUGCUAAGGAUCUGCAAAUUAAUUUGCAUAUCAAACAUUGUAGAAUAAAUCUUACACUUAUAUGCAAUGCCUUUUUUCAAAUCCACGUGGAGAAAUAUAUUUGACUUAAUAAAAUACAAAUUCUUUAAAAG